rnacentral:lncRNA from 10 species
AUCACUUUAGAAUAUAUUAAACAACCUAUCAAGAUUAAUGAGCUUAUUCAGAAAAGAAAAUAAGUCCUGAUCAAUUUCAGCGUGUUUGGACCAGCAGAUUCCAGGUGAUGGAUAGGCAGCUUCAUUUUAAUAGUCUGUUGGUACAGGGUGACCUGUAGCCUUUCCAGAAGAGGUAAAAUGAAUCCUCCGGUUGUCACCCCCUCCUUCCUCGCUCCAAUUCCAUCAUUAAUCCCCGUUUGAGGAUUUGAGUGCUGCCGAGGACUGACAGACUCCAUGAGGUUCAGCUGCUGCCUGGUACAUGUGGUCACCUGCAGCUUCUUCAGCCCUACAUAUAUUUUGUGCUGUUUUAGACUGCUCUUUCUUCCAUUAAAUGAGAGAUUAGAUCUGAAUGGCCACGUGAUCUUCUGAGUCCCAUCUGUAAGAAUCUGCAUUUCCACGGAAUUGGGGGAGCAAACGUUCUCAAAACAUUCUUAAAUGCAAACCCGCAGGCACAGCAUGUGUCUGUCAACUCCAAGAGCAUUUGGAUGUUCGAAGGGAGAGGAUGUUUGACAUCUAACCCGUCGUGGAAAGAGGAGCCUCUUAAGGAACCGGAAACCUGGAGAGUGAGAUGCCAAAGAUUAUGAAAGAAACUGGAAGGAAAGUGAAGACUGGAACAGAGAUUUUCUCAUUCCUGCUUGAGUGUUCUUCCAAUGACUGUGUGUGUGUAGCUUUGAAAAUACAAAGUAUUGGGAAUAGGAACUGUGAUACAAACAAAGCAAGGAACAUCACGUCUGAAUGCUCGCGGCCUCUGCCUGCCCCGUGGGAUGGUGCUGGAAAUUAUACUCAUAUUUAGAUAGCAUUCUCUGCAAGUGGCUGCUGUUGUCCUUCCAUCGUCAGCACAGGCAGAUGCUGGGAGUACCCACCUUGGGGUGAGGUGGCAAGAGAGGGCCAGCUUGUAUCCGCCUCGUUGUCGUCCUUCCUUCCUGACUUGACUCUCUCCUCUGUGGCCUUCUCAGGAGUGGGAUGUGGUUGUGAGGAGAAUGUGCACUUUACCCCUCACCAGUCCAGAGAGGGGCACAUAGCCCAAACCUCUCCCCUUCCCAGAAACCUGCAAGUCCCCCUGGGUGCGCCUGUGUGAUGAGGCAGGCUCCGAGAGCCACAGGCUGGUGGGCCACUAGGAAGCAGUAAAGGAAGACAUUUUAUGAUUGUAGCUGGAGAUAAUGAAUUGAAAAGCUGGUCUCUGUUUCUGGAAAUGAUGCCAGGAGGCCCUCAAAAUAAACGCCCACCUGUCCUUCAGGUCUCAACACCUGUUGCUCUUGGGACAGAGAUCCCAGGCCCAAAAUAGGCACAGCUGCUAUGGAUGCUCGUCUUGCCCUCCUGGAGCUGAGACUGGGCCAUGUUUGGAAAUAUGUCUCCCUCCAUCCCCUCCUCCCAUCCUCAUUUGGAGCCUUAGGGCUUUAAGACGUGAGCUCUUUCCUCGCUCCCUCUCCCCAGUCUUUCUUGGGUAUCUCUGCUCCUCCCAUCACCUGUUCCUGGGCAUGGCAUAGGCAGUUGGUAAAUGACAGAUGAAUGAAUACAUGUACAAGGAAACACAGAUCUGAAAUUUCUAGCAGCAAAGUUUGGAGCAGGAAGCUCUGGCUGGCCCUGGGCUUUUUGCUAAGGGUGUUCUGGCUUCGCGUGGCAGCACCCCUCCCCACCGGGCCUUUGCCAGGACGCUCGAUCCUCUCUUCGGGCUUCUGAGCAGUGUGAAUUGCAAACAGCCAUGCCCACUCCCCAGGCCAAGAAAACCAAGUUCAUGGCCAGGAUUGCUCACAAAAAAAAAAAAAAAAAAAGAACCACUUCUGCCUUAUCAUUCUCUCUUUAUUACCGAAAUGCGGAGACAGAAAGUCAACAGAGAAAGAAUUGUUUUCCCCAAGGCCACACAGAUUGCUCCAACACUUGACUUUUCCUGCUAGGAACUCAAUCCAAGAGAUGGGCUUUCUUUUGUUCUCUGACUAUAAAAGGGUGUCACCUUGUCACCAUCUUCUAUCACACAGGACCCCUAUGGGCUUGGUUUGGUUUUGUUCUUUCAUCAUUAUUAUUUGGAAAGUUAUAUUUCCUUUACUGUCCUUGAGGUGUGAGGCUUCACCUCAUCUUGUCUCCAUAUCCCUGAGUCACUAAGGAGUCCUAUGUCAAUGACACCUCUCCAUAUGCUUUACCUAAGCUGCCCCUUCUCUCAGCAAGUUCGCGCCAGGCUUCCCCAUGAAGGCCACCUAAGGGUGUCUAUCGUCCCCCUCCUAAAUCUCCCCAGGACUUUUGAACAAGGGCCAUGUCCAGUUUAAUGUCACACAAAGAAGACUCAUCAAAGCCCAGGAGUUGGGAGUUCUUGCUCCUCACUGCCAUGGAAAGCAUGAAACAUCUGAGAUAAAAAUAAUCUGUGCCAUCCCCUGGCUCCGGAUGGACAGCAGUUGGGGCAUGAGCGCCUCCAGAAUGUCUCAGCAUUGCUGAGGGUAACCGGAUCGCCGCUCAGAUCCAGCAGGCAGCCUCAGAACCUCCCAGCUGCUGUUGUUUUUAGCACCGGGAUUAUUGGUAGGGGUGUAAAUAGACAUCUGUGUUCUGGGUGGCUCGCUCACCCCACAUUCCUAGGCACACUUGUUUUAUUAAAGCUCUCAGCUGUCGGGUGAUCCAGGCGUGGAGAAAUGAAAGGCCGCCCUCACCAGCUGGUGGUGGACUGCAAACUGCAACCAGUUUUCCCCCAUAAGGACAUGUUACUCCUAUUAGAAACUGUGUCCCUCACAUGUCCUUAAGAAGCGGGCCAUCUGCCAAUCAUAAAUCGAGAUCUCAGCCGUUCCAAAUAAAGAAAGAGUCUACCCUCCUUGCUGGCAGUCCUUUUAUAGUUGACAGAUUUUUUUUUUUAAUCUUGUGCUUGGCCAUGUAUUUCUUGUGUAAUUAAAAAAUUAUAAAAGGUAAUAAAAAAUACAAAUCCACUGCUAAGAGAUUUAAGACUCAAUAAAAAUUUCAGAAAGCCAGAGGUUUCUGGAUAGUAUGAGGAUUACAAGGAGAAGGUUAAUAAAUUCCAUGUCCCAACACCAGAAAAAAAGAAUAAAAGAGAAAAAACAAGGCUAUUUAUGAAAAGGAAAAGUAAUUAGAAAUGGCCCUUAAUGGCUGAGUGUGGUGGCUCAUACCUGUAAUCCCAGCACCUUGGGAGGCCGAGGCGGGUGGAUCACCUAAGGUCAGAAGUUCGAGAUCAUUCUGGCCAACAUGGUAAAACCCCGUCUCUACUAAAAAUACAAAAAAAUUAGCCAGGCAUGGUGGCGUGUGCCUGUAGUCCCAGCUACCUGGGAGGCUGAGGCAUGAGAAUUGCUUGAAACCGGGUGGCAAAAGUUGCACUGAGCCAAGAUCGCACCACUGCGCUCCAGCCUGGGUGACAGAGUGAGACUCCUUCUCAAUAAAAAUAAAAAAUAUAAUAAGAAAUGGUCCUUAAUUUGGAGAGGCUCACCCAAAAAAGUGAGCCUGAAGAGAAGGCGCCCUUCAUUCUUUUGCCACCCUGUUCUGGAGCCCAUGUACGAAAGAGCCAGUGGAUAUUGCAAAUGAGCUAAAGUCACCCAAGUUCCUACUGAAUGGUCAAAGGUCCUAUCUUAAGAGAGGCUCUCUGAGGAUGGGGUGGGCUGAGGUGGUGGACAAGAGGAGGGUUAUAGAGAAACACCUGGAGGACGCUAACAGAAACAGUCGAUCAUCAAAAAGAAAACACGAAGCACGCUUUGGGUUCUAUCAGCCCAGUUUCAACACAGCUUUACCCUGUGCGCCAGCUCUUUUGAGGGAUUUCGCCUGUCUAUGUGGCCGGCUGCCCCGGUAGAAGGUUAGUACUUUGUAGGGUAAAGGAGUCUUAGGAUCUAGAGAGAAUCCAGCUCUGCCAUUUUGACCUUGAACAAAUCACUGAGUUUCGUCUUUUCAUCUGUAAAGUGGGUGAUAAGGUCCAUCUCCUCAUCGCCAAGUCUGUAUGCUGAGGGCACGAGAGAGUGCAUGCCAAGUGCACAUGGGUGGAGUUCAGUAAAUAGUGGCUGAUCUCAUCCUCCUCCUCUCCAUGGUCGGAGGAGACCCCCUCUCUGGCUCGUGUGGCACGGCAGCUCCUGAUUUGGAAUGGAAUUGGUGCUUUCAUUUUUUGCUUCUUAAUAACACAGCUUACAUUUUCUAUAGUCGUGGGCAUCCUUUUUUUAUGGAAUAAAUGAACAUGGGUGACUUUGGUCAUAAUAUUCACUCUUAGAAAAUGAAUCUUUUCAUUUAUAUCCUUCACAAAAUCAGAGCCUAAUAGAAAUAGUCACAGGUCACUUCCAGCACCAAACUCCGCACCUUCUCCUUUGUGGGAAAUGUCACACUUUGCCAAUAAGUGGACACAGGGGGUUCCACGGCCCCAGGUAUUUUCAAGUGCAGAGGCACUCCAGUUCUGCAUAAAAUGCAUCAGGGGCCUCUUUUAUUAAUUCUUUAAGUCAUAAGUUCUGUAAAAUAAGUUUACUUCAACGAUCUCUCGCUUACUCUUCCUUUCUGGUAUGUACAUAUUUUACCACCUUUUUUUUUUCUUUUUGAGACAGAGUCUUGCUCUGUCUCCAGGCCGGAGUGCAGUGGUGUGAUCUUGGCUCACUGCAACCUCCGCCUCCUGGGUUCAAGCGAUUCUCCUGCCUC